UACGUAGGGAGCAAGCGUUGUCCGGAAUCAUUGGGCGUAAAGCGCGCGUAGGCGGCCCUGUAAGUCCGUUGUGAAAGUCAAAGGCUCAACCUUUGAAAGCCGAUGGAUACUGCCGGGCUAGAGUCCGGAAGAGGCGAGUGGAAUUCCUGGUGUAGCGGUGGAAUGCGCAGAUAUCAGGAGGAACACCAACAGCGAAGGCAGCUCGCUGGGACGGUACUGACGCUGAGGCGCGAAAGCGUGGGGAGCGAACAGG
rnacentral:rRNA from 1 species